rnacentral:rRNA from 1 species
UGGGGAAUAUUGCACAAUGGGCGCAAGCCUGAUGCAGCCAUGCCGCGUGUGUGAAGAAGGCCUUCGGGUUGUAAAGCACUUUCAGCGAGGAGGAAGGUGGUGAACUUAAUACGUUCAUCAAUUGACGUUACUCGCAGAAGAAGCACCGGCUAACUCCGUGCCAGCAGCCGCGGUAAUACGGAGGGUGCAAGCGUUAAUCGGAAUUACUGGGCGUAAAGCGCACGCAGGCGGUUUGUUAAGUCAGAUGUGAAAAUCCCCGGGCUCAACCUGGGAACUGCAUUUGAAAACUGGCAAGCUAGAGUCUCGUAGAGGGGGGUAGAAUUCCAGGUGUAGCGGUGAAAUGCGUAGAGAUCUGGAGGAAUACCGGUGGCGAAGGCGGCCCCCUGGACGAAGACUGACGCUCAGGUGCGAAAAGCGUGGGGAGCAAAACAGGAUUAGAUACCCUGGUAGUCCACGCUGUAAAACGAUGUCGAUUUUGGAGGUUGUGCCCUUGAGGCGUGGCUUCCGGAGCUAACGCGUUAAAUCGACCGCCUGGGGAGUACGGCCGCAAGGUU